GAUGAAGAACGUAGCAAAAUGCGAUAAGUAAUGUGAAUUGCAGAAUUCAGUGAAUCAUCGAAUCUUUGAACGCACAUUGCGCCCGCCAGUAUUCUGGCGGGCAUGCCUGUUCGAGCGUCAUUUCAACCCUCAAGCACAGCUUGGUGUUGGGACUCGCGUUAAUUCGCGUUCCCCAAAUUGAUUGGCGGUCACGUCGAGCUUCCAUAGCGUAGUAGUAAAACCCUCGUUACUGGUAAUCGUCGCGGCCACGCCGUUAAACCCCAACUUCUGAAUGUUGACCUCGGAUCAGGUAGGAAUACCCGCUGAACUUAAGCAUAUCAAAGCGGAGGA
rnacentral:misc_RNA from 1 species